GACGAACGCUGGCGGCGUGCCUAAUACAUGCAAGUAGAACGCACAGUUUAUACCGUAGCUUGCUACACCAUAGACUGUGAGUUGCGAACGGGUGAGUAACGCGUAGGUAACCUGCCUGGUAGCGGGGGAUAACUAUUGGAAACGAUAGCUAAUACCGCAUAAUAUUAAUUAUUGCAUGAUAAUUAAUUGAAAGGUGCAAUUGCACCACUACCAGAUGGACCUGCGUUGUAUUAGCUAGUAGGUGAGGUAACGGCUCACCUAGGCGACGAUACAUAGCCGACCUGGGAGGGUGAUCGGCCACACUGGGACUGAGACACGGCCCAGACUCCUACGGGAGGCAGCAGUAGGGAAUCUUCGGCAAUGGACGAAAGGCUGACCGAGCAACGCCGCGUGAGUGAAGAAGGUUUUCGGAUCGUAAAGCUCUGUUGUAAGAGAAGAACGGGUGUGAGAGUGGAAAGUUCACACUGUGACGGUAUCUUACCAGAAAGGGACGGCUAACUACGUG
rnacentral:rRNA from 1 species